rnacentral:rRNA from 1 species
AUUGAACGCUGGCGGCAGGCCUAACACAUGCAAGUCGAGCGGUAGAGAGAAGCUUGCUUCUCUUGAGAGCGGCGGACGGGUGAGUAAUGCCUAGGAAUCUGCCUGGUAGUGGGGGAUAACGUUCGGAAACGGACGCUAAUACCGCAUACGUCCUACGGGAGAAAGCAGGGGACCUUCGGGCCUUGCGCUAUCAGAUGAGCCUAGGUCGGAUUAGCUAGUUGGUGAGGUAAUGGCUCACCAAGGCGACGAUCCGUAACUGGUCUGAGAGGAUGAUCAGUCACACUGGAACUGAGACACGGCCCAGACUCCUACGGGAGGCAGCAGUGGGGAAUAUUGGACAAUGGGCGAAAGCCUGAUCCAGCCAUGCCGCGUGUGUGAAGAAGGUCUUCGGAUUGUAAAGCACUUUAAGUUGGGAGGAAGGGCAGUUACCUAAUACGUGAUUGUUUUGACGUUACCGACAGAAUAAGCACCGGCUAACUCUGUGCCAGCAGCCGCGGUAAUACAGAGGGUGCAAGCGUUAAUCGGAAUUACUGGGCGUAAAGCGCGCGUAGGUGGUUAGUUAAGUUGGAUGUGAAAUCCCCGGGCUCAACCUGGGAACUGCAUUCAAAACUGACUGACUAGAGUAUGGUAGAGGGUGGUGGAAUUUCCUGUGUAGCGGUGAAAUGCGUAGAUAUAGGAAGGAACACCAGUGGCGAAGGCGACCACCUGGACUGAUACUGACACUGAGGUGCG